CGAAUUGUGUGUGACAACAACAUGACGACCAAGCGCCGCAACCACGGACGUUCGAAGCCCGCGCACAGCCGCGGUCGCGUCAAGCCGAUCCACUGCUUCAACUGCGGUCGUCUGACCCCGAAGGACAAGGCCGUCGGCCGCUUUGUGGUGCGCCGCAUGCUGGAUGCCGCUUCCGCCCGCGAUGUGGCGGAGGCGUCCCCGGUGUACGGUGCAAACUUCCCGAUGCCGAAGCUGUACAUGAAGCAGCGCUUCUGCAUAGCGUGCGCUAUCCACAGCCGCACCGUGCGCGCUCGCCCGGUCGGAAACCGCAAGAUACGCUACACGAGGAAGGUGCCGUUCCGCCCGGCUGGCAAGAAGUAAAGGAAAAACUGCGCGCGGAGGCAAGGAUGAUUCACACAUGACGCUCUUGCCAACCUGAUUUUUUUACUUUGAGUUUCUCUUCGAAGAAAACAUAGAAACAAAAAAAGACGGGAAGAAGGCCUUCGGUGUGUAGAGGCAAAUCCGGAUGGCCUGAGUUAAACUUCGGGCGUGUGAGGACAGGAUGCAGGAGGCAGGCUAUGCGCUCCGUCUCAACCGUGCGGCAACUCGCACACCGCUGUCCUUCGUAUGGAUACGUCAUUGCUGCUCAUGGCAGUCAAACUACAGACGUGUAAGGGCACGUGUCGCCAUCGAUGCGUUUCGCGUGUCGCCUUCGCGUUCCUUUUCUGCAUAUGACUGGCGUGCGCAAGGCUAUGCCCCCCCCUCCGCAUUGCACGUCAGAGAUCCCUUGGUGAAUUUCGUGCCAUCAGGCUUCUCGAUCCUAAGUGAUUACGUGCUUCACUAUUGUGUUGGUUCUUCUAUUUGCACUCCUCCCUGACUCCUCUCCUU
rnacentral:misc_RNA from 1 species